GGGAGCAACAUUGUGGAGGCACAGGACAGGAGGCAGCGGGUUCUUUUGGAGUAACAGUGAGCUGGGAAGGAGAGAUAUAGAGAAAGAAAGACAAAGCUUCCCACAAUAGUUUGUUGGAAUUUUGGCUCAUCCGUCCUGACUGAUCUGGUGUAACUGAUUCAGAAAACACCCGCAACUGGUGCUGCCAUCUGCAUACUUUGUAAUUAGGAUGGUGUUCUCAGGCUUGCAAGUUUCCUCCUUCUCCCUCUAAAAGCAACAAUGGUUUGGACUCAGUAAAUGCUCCAAGUCUCAAUUGAGACCAAGACAUCGACAAGGUUACAGUGAAAGCCAAGCUGACGUUUAGUGCAGCACUGAAGAGACACAGCCUGGGAGACAUCUGGAGUAGAGGAGGAUAACAGCCACACGCCGCUCUCCACCACAGACAACAUGAUGAGGGAUUAAACUUCAUUGCAACAUGUUAUGAAGAUGGGCAGGACCAGACCUCGUGAUCUGAGCUAGCAUCUGGACAUCUGGCUCUCGGGUUAGUGCCAGAGUGGGAGGAGAAGAGACGCAGUCAGACGUCCCAGAAUGAUCAAUACCUGUAUUGAUCAGGCAUUGUGAGAGUGAUCCGUCUAAAACCCUGAACAGCCUAGAGCUCAGAGGUGGGAGGAGCGAGAGAGAGAGAGGCUGUAUAGAGGAUGGAGAAGGAGAGCGAGUCUGCAGCCACAGUGAAAGGAAGAAGAGGUGCAAGGUUGGAAGAGACUGAGGGAGAGGCGGACGCAAAGAUGGAGGCAGGUGGGAUGCAGAUUUCGGGAAAUGCUGCCAGGCCGCUGGGACUGUGGAAAACAAAUGAAAGACACUCCUACAGAAGAGAUUAAGGAGAUUUUUGUUUGGUUUUGGACAAAGGAGGUUGAGUGCACACUCCUGCUCUAAAUUCAGUUGCUGCAAAAAAGGUCAAAACUUAUGUUUCCUGUAAACUCCUUAAUAUCCAGAAGAGGACUACUUUCCCCAUCAUAAUCAUGGAUAAAGAAUUGCACAACAAAUCUAAAUGUAAAGACAAUGCUGCUAAAAGACAAACAUGGCAGCUGAGCACAGUCUUCAGUGUACAGGAGUGCUUCUGUUUUGUACACAUGUGGAUAUGGCUGGCUUUUGGAAUGCUUCUACACUCUGGGAAUUCACGAAAUUGGUGGAUGUCAUAGUUUUCAUUGUAAAUUAAGUAGGAAAUUUACUGAAGCUGAAGCGAUGACUCACUGGAUGACUCAACACAAGUUCAAGGCCGCAAUCUACCCCGCACUAGAGGACGAGGGAAAAGCUUUUGCCGUCAUCCCCUCCUGCGUUGGGGAAAUCAAGUUUCAUUGAUUGGUUUUAAAUAAGAUGUGUUGUGCAUAAUUGAGGAUCUGAAGGAAGAUGAAUUCCUUGAACGAACUGUGGGGAAAGACCUGAAUGCUCUUGAACUCAUGUUGUAUUGGAGACCAGGUGUGGAAGCACUCAGUAAAAAAAAAAAAAAGGCCUAUAAGUUCAUGUCUCUCUGAGCGAGUUAAACAAAAACUAUUAAUCAAAGACAAAAAGGCGGUUGCAUGCAAUUUUCCUAAUGGAUGAAAGAAAAACAAACAUUGCAAAUCUCUGAAGGUAAAGGAAAUACAGUGUCUUACAAAAGUAUUAGUGGAACUUUUGCACAGCUUGUCACGUUACAAACACAAACUUCAAUGUAUUGUAUUGAAAUUUUAUGUGAUAGACUGGAAGGAAAAGGAUACAAGGUUUUAAAAAUGUUUAACAAAUACAAAUCUGAGAAGUG